AGAUCUAGAAGACACAUCUGCACGAUGUCUUCCAAUGCGGGACUCAGAUUAGCAUCGGCGUGCGUUGCAGUAACAAGACAAUGACAUUGUAUAGUUUUGAUACGGUUCGCGUGUUGUGAAUAAAUAAAAAAUAAUGUUCUGGAAAACAAUUUUGAUAAUAUUACCCUUCCUUAGUCUCUGUCGAGGUAACACAAGAAUUUGUAGAUGCUGGGAAGGUUAUAAAGUCGAUUUAAGUGAAAAUGGACCUCAAUGUGUAGCGAUCAAUCAGUUUCACAUUAUGCCUUGCAAUAUGAUAAUGUCACCAAAAUGCAAAUGUUCUGGAAGAGUCAGUAAUAUAUUGAAAGACCGUACAGGAACUUGGUGUACACGUUAUAGGAAAGGGCAGGAAUUCAUGCG